UACCCUCGCGGCAGUGAUUGGUCCACGUGGGCACAUGACACGGCCGGGGCUGGACUCCCCGGAAAGAGCCUCUCCCUCCUUCCUGCUGGACUAGCCUGAGAAGACGCGAGGCAGUCGCUGCUGCAGUACUGGGCGGAGGGCCUGUCUGAGGUGGAGCCAACCUCGAGGAAACUGGGUCAACCAUGGACAAGGACACACGAGCUUUGUGACGUCAUGCAGAGCAGAGACCACCGGGGCCUGCUUGCUGCGCAGUGGAGCCCAUGUCUUCAAGGCCGGGCUAAUCUUCACUGGCCUCUGGGCUCCUUCCAGCUCCACUGACAGAAAGAAAGCAGAUUAGAUUACCGGGCCAGGCUGGAGGGCUGGGUGUGACAGGGCCCUUCAGAGAGCCUUGAGACAGAACCUCAGCAGACGGUGGCAGCUGAAGACCCUGGUCAGUUCCCAAAUUGACCAGACACCUCCCAUCAGUCCAUUCCUGCCUGUGGAUGGCCUCCCGAGAACCAACUUCCAAUCACAAGGAAUCUCAUCAAAUAACCAGGAAAGAUUAACUACUGGAGAAGAGAAGAGACUGGAAUCAUCACCAUGCCAGACAGACUUUUCAUCUGUUCUUCUGAGGACAGCUCCAAGAGAUUACCUGGGAGACUUUAUCUGCGAAAAAGACAACCUUUGUUCACAGUGUGGUUCUGCCCCUCACCCUCCUGCCACCUGCCCCAGAACUCAGAGGAACUUUGUCCCAGGCUAUUAUCUAUUCUUUGGGCUCACUCAUUUUCCUUAGAAAUCAUUUACUACCUCUCUAAAAUGUCCUACAGUCCGCCACUUCCCUGUCCCUUAUGUAGAGGGUAUAUAAGCCUCAACCAUCUGGCCCUUCUUUGAGUCUCCUAUUUGUAGGGCUUCCAUGGCCAUAUGCACCGUAAUAAAUGUGUAAGCCAUUUUUCUCCUAUGAA